UAUAGUUUAGUGUUAUGGCACAUUAAUUUUUGAAGUUAGGGGGAAUAAUUUAUUUUAUUAACUAUAA
rnacentral:tRNA from 1 species